rnacentral:lncRNA from 1 species
UCUGAUUGUAUCACAGACCCUAGGAGAAACUUGAGAUGAAAAUAUGAUAAUCUGAGAUUGCUCCGAAAUUCAUGCAGUAGAUCGGAUCCCGAUCCGAUCCUUCUUCGAAAUUGAUAACAUCGAUCAUGGUUAAUCCAUAUUAAGUCACCCUGAUGUAACCUCUGAUGAUCUCAAUCAUGAUUGCCACUUUUGAAGGAUACGAAGAUUCUCUCUCCACU